GUGCCAGCAGCCGCGGUAAUUCCAUGCUCCAAUAGCGUAUAUUAAAGUUGUUGUGGUUAAAAAGCUCGUAGUUGAACCUUGGGCCUGGCUGGCCGGUCCGCCUCACCGCGUGCACUGGUCCGGCCGGGCCUUUCCCUCUGUGGAACCCCAUACCCUUCACUGGGCGUGGCGGGGAAACAGGACAUUUACUUUGAAAAAAUUAGAGUGCUCCAGGCAGGCCUAUGCUCGAAUACAUUAGCAUGGAAUAAUAAAAUAGGACGCGCGGUUCUAUUUUGUUGGUUUAUAGGACCGCCGUAAUGAUUAAUAGGGACAGUCGGGGGCAUCAGUAUUCAACUGUCAGAGGUGAAAUUCUUGGAUCAGUUGAAGACUAACUACUGCGAAAGCAUUUGCCAAGGAUGUUUUCAUUAAUCAGGAACGAAAGUUAGGGGAUCGAAGACGAUCAGAUACCGUCGUAGUCUUAACCAUAAACUAUGCCGACUAGGGAUCGGACGGUGUUAUUCAUGACCCGUUCGGCACCUUACGAGAAAUCAAAGUGCUUGGGCUCCAGGGGGAGUAUGGUCGCAAGGCUGAAACUUAAAGAAAUUGACGGAAGGGCACCACCAGGGGUGCAGCCUGCGGCUUAAUUUGACUCAACACGGGGAAACUCACCAGGUCCAGACACAAUAAGGAUUGACAGAUUGAGAGCUCUUUCUUGAUUUUGUGGGUGGUGCUGCAUGGCCGUUCUUAGUGGUGGGGUGACUUGUCUGCUUAAUUGCGAUAACGAACGAGACCUUAACCUGCUAAAUAGCCCGCAUUGCUCCGGCAGUGCGCUGGCUUCUUAGGAGGGGACUUUCGGCUC
rnacentral:rRNA from 1 species